CCUUUUCCUGCGGAGAGUCAGAGAUGGUGGCUCAACUAGUGGGAACUAUGGAGAUAAACUUCAUGGUGAUAUCCUGGAAGUUGUGCAGAAUAAUUAAGCCCUUCAUGAAAACAUCAACAGUUCUAGAAGACUAUAUGAUGUACAGUUGUGGAUGUUCCUGAAUAUUUAAGACAGAAUGUGACUUAUUAGCAAGUAUCCAGUGGAUAAUGACUCAAUGAAUGAAUAACUGACAGCGCAGUUGGGAUAUAAAACUACUUGCAACUCUAGUACUACUAAAACAGAGAUCUCUGAAGGCUGACUCAAUAUUAAAGUGAAAUGGUGGAAAAUGUAGGAGCAGAUGCAUUUAGUUAUUCAGUGAUGAGGUGGAAUUUUUGUAUCACUGGAAGAAGUCUGACACCUGAAGAUACCCAGAUACCAAGAUUUUAACAACAAAAAAUGUUACCAGGUUUAUGCUUCUGAAAUAGUUUGUGGGAUUGUUUGGUAGUUAAUAUUUCUGAAACUUCACAUGGCACAGAACCAGUCGGUCUCUGCUUCUCUUAAAACAGUGAGCAAUCAUGUUUUGUGGAAAUCUAAAGAUCUUUCCAAAUUUUUAGACCCAGCUCCCUCUAGUGAAACCAAAGCGGUCUUAUAAUAGGGAAACUGCAUGUGGGAUCAAAGAAGAGAAAAUUCAGUUUUGCUAGAAUCAGUCAGAUUUAACAUCUUCUGUUUUCUGACAUGACUUAUCAGGAGAUUAUGGUGGCUGAAGGGAAAUAGAGCAUACUUUAAAAGUGUAGCAUAAAAUCUAUUUUUUCCCACUGUUUAUCAGGAGAGGCUCCCUUACUCAGUAAAGAAAAUAUUAAGGGCAACAAACAAUAAGCUUGGUGGAUGGGGGUUGGAAAAAAACUCCCAGUGGCUAGCCAGUUUCCUCUGAAGGAGAUAAAAGCACAACAAAGAAAUAAAGCACACUUUGAUAUUACUGGGGAAAUGUGUAUGCCCUGAACAGUAAUAAAAUGGGCAAGGGAAAACCCAGGCACCCUGUGUAGAAAGAUGGCGAGAGUACCAAUUAAUGCAGAAAAUCAUAGUAAUGAGGCUUCCCCCUUUUGAGUGCAAUUUCAUUCAGGAAGUGAAAGAGGAAUGUCAGGUGGUGGUAUUAAUCAAUGAAGGCAUUGAGGAAGCAAACAAUAUCAGACAUUUGUAAGAAAGCAAAAUUCACCAGUCAUCGUAGGAGUUGUGGUCACAAGAGAAAACUAGACUUAAACCACAGCCUGGGUUCUGUUUAUGCUGAUGAGGAAAGAAGUUGGUUUUUAUGCACCGCUGCCCAACUGCAUGAUAAGACCAAUGCAUUGGUGUGGAACUUCUUUUUUUCUCGAGCAGAAAGCAUUGCUACCCUCUAUGUUUUGUGUGGAAGAGAGGCACACCUGGCAACUUCUGCUUUAAGAAACCUCUUGAAAAAUAACCAUGCCAUAAUGUGGGAGAAACAUCUCUGCUGCAUUCAACAACUAAGCCUUAAUGCAGUAGGGAAAGAGAUGGAGGAGACAGAUCAUAACAUCUGAUAAAGUAGGGUCCACAAAUACUCCAGUCAGUGGCAUAACAUCCAGUAUGCCUUUUAGUGUUAGGAAGGGAAGCACAAUGAAAAAAGAUACACAGGCAAACUACCCAGCGCCUGACACAACCUACACUUAAAGACACAUCAAACUAUAAGGAAAAAACAUCCUACAAUCCCCAUGCUUAAUACAAAACUGCCACUAAUGCUAGUAGUGGAUCUGCAGCCCUUUUCAUUUGGCAAGGCACUAAGGGAAUAUACCAUUCCCAAGUGGCAAAUACCUAGCAAAACCUACUUUUUUGGCUAAGGCAAUACCAUAGUUGUACAAAACUCAUAUUGCAGUGUCCAAGGCAUUGAGGACGUCAACGGUGAGGAAGAUCCAUCUGACCACUGAAAUGUGGACUAGUGGCCAGACCAUGGACUGUGUAUCAGCUCAUUGGGUAGCUCUUCCUGUUCAGUUACCUAUGGUAGCAGGUAGCCAGACACUUUGCUACAGACUACAGCCCAACAUGCAACACUGAAGUUUUGAAAAACCCUACACUCCAUUGUGUAUUGGAGAAAUUGCAGAAUGGCUUUCUCUUUGCUCACUUUUAGCAGGAUUUAUUACCACAUUAGUCCCAUUAUCAGAUGUAUGUGCAAUUAAGGAAGGGGGAUACUUCCAUGUGCCAUGCUUUGUACACAUUCUUGAUGCAGUAAUUCAUUCUUUUCUGCACAAAGAUGAGAAUGUGAAGUGCCGGUCAUUGCAUGUCAAGUCUGCAGUUACUUCAGCUAUUCCUUUACAGAUGCUUAUACUUUACAAGAACUGCAAAGGCAAAAUAGCCUUCCGUUGCACCAACUCAAACACUAUGGGCCAAACAAAUGGGAUUCACCUCUCUGUGCUUGAGCAAUUACUGGGGCAAUACAAAACUGAGUGUAGUUUUAAGAAAAACCUAUGUAGUAGGUGGAGACCUUUUGAUGAAGCAUUUAAAGGGUGAGCUAAAACGAUGCUAGUUUUAGCCAAGUCAUUCUGCUCACGUGCCUCCUAGAGGGGGGGGAAAUAUGCUGCCUGCAAGAACAGUUUAGAAAAGUGGAUGAUAUUGCAGCAGUCUAUUUGGUAAAUAGUAUAUUAGCCAUUCUGAAAGAAGACUUAUACAAUUUAUAUUAGGGGGUCUGAGGAGUACAUUUUUGCUACUUUUUUUUUUUAGAUCCAUGAUUUAAAGAUGCAUUAUCUAUCUUUCUCCCAUGGGGUGAGUCUAAUAUAGAAUACCACCAAACUGUUCUCAGAUACGGUUGCUAAAUGUAUUUCUACUAGAAUGGUAAGAAAAUAAGCUCUUCUAGCAUCAGGGAUCAAAUAGAAGAAAGUUGGAGCAAAAUUGAAAGAUUUCAACCUUCAAAAGGUGAGAUCUUUUUGGGAUCCCCCAGUACCUCACAUGCAUCAUAUUCCAAAAUGUCACUCUGGGAUUUGCUCCUUGAUCUAGGUUUAAUGAAAGUAGCAGAAAAUGGUAUCAUGCCAGAAAAUCCUGCUAUCGCCUGGAAGAAUUAAAUGUAAAUCAUGGCAGUUUCUAAUGCACAAUGAGAAAAUUCAGUCACUUACAUGAUUUUAUAAAAUUACUGUUCAACAAGAUGCAAAACCUUUUAAAGUUCAGUUGCUUUGUAAAUGAAGCAUUAAAACAUUACAUGCAUCAUGCAAAACUUUGUUGACAUCCUGUACCAAUAGUCAUUGGAUUUGAAUGUUGUCUGUUGCAAGCCAGUAAAUGAGAAGUUAAAGCUA